GCGUGGUAGCACGACUGACAUGUAGAAAUAAGAGGCUGACUGCACAUAAAUGUAAGAAAAGAAAGCUGAUAUUUAAGCAAUGACUGCAAAGUGUGCCACUGGUAACAGUUGUUAAUUUCUCUACAACUUAUACUCGUGAACUUCAAUGGCACCCUUGAAGUCUAACUUAUAUUCUCUAUCUGCAUUACUAAUUUUUUCUAUAUGGACUGCUCAAAUCGGAUCCCUCUCAGGCGGAUACAUGAAAUACUAUGUAGAACUCAUGUUUUAUGAAGAUGGAGCGCAGCGGCACCCGUUACCAGAAUUGCAAAGAAAAGAUGUGUACUACACAGAAGUGGCGAUGGCGGUAACAAGACGUCUGGAACUCUUGAGAAUAGGACAAUUCAAGGUCAUCAUUAAGGGCAUUUACACGUGCAUUGCAGAGUAGAGCUGAAACCUGAGGCCAACAUCAUUCAAGCCCGACGGACCCGAGUCCACGUACAGAAAGAAAAGCCCGGGCCCGGCCAGAUGCAGCGCGACAUUCUGUAGGUUUCAUGGGGAGACAACAUAUUGCUAUAAAUUAUUGCGGCAUAUUUUAUAGUGUAGCAAAAUGAAACAAAAGCAGAAAACAUGUGGCAGUCACUAUAUUGUUGUCCUUCAUUACUCAAGCCAAGAAUUUGAAAAGGAAAGCCACCUCAGUGACGAAAUGACCCAAACGCGUACUACUCUCACUAGCCUGUAGGUACUCAGGCAAUCUUUAUUUCUCCACAUGCAAAUUGAUUCAUUUUCAUAUACCUAUUUGUUAAGUUAUGGGCUGGCCACCCACAAUAUCAACACUGAAAAAACACCGACUAAAUUGUUUCCUGUACGAUUCGUCUAGCGCGGCAAUUUUUUCCGCGUUGUAAAAAAAGCCUAUAGGAGCACUAUAGAAGUGCGCUCGUGGUCCGUCACACGGGUUCUUUUCACGUUUUUGGGCUUUCUUUACAACGUGGGAAAAAUAACCGCGCGAGAUGUACCGUACAGGAAACAAUUUAUUCGGUGGUUUGUUAAAGUACUCUACAUCACAGUGUUCAUAUUUUGGGUUUCAGCCCAGAAUUAACAAGACAGAUAAUUAGGAAUUAAUAAUUAAUUAUUAUGGGAUUGGAUGGAUAGAUGAAGAACUUUAUUGGGGUCCUGAAGUAUUCCAUCCCUGUUUUAUAGGGUUAGGAUCGCAGGCCGCUUCCACGUAGAGACGAAGAGGCCUAGCCUCACAGCCGCAUCGUGGGGCUUGUGGAUAGCCUUGAGUUGGUGUAUGAGGACCGGACUUGUGAGCAUUGAAUGAAAAAAAUUUUUGGAAAAUUCUUCAUUUUUUUCUUCAAUGAGGGGCACACCCAGAGCAUGUCGUUAAAAUCACCGCGAUUGCGCCUGAUUAUACCUACAGGCUAGUACGAGUAGUAUGCAUUUGGCUCAAUUCGCCUCUUAAGAGCCUUUCACUUUCAACUUCUUCGCUCAAGUUAUGUGGGACACCCUGUAUACACAGAUCCCAUGACGUCUUGACAAAAUUACUAGUUGUCUGGUGGCUCAGUAUUCAGUGGAAUGCGGUGUUCUUGCUUCUCAUAUUCUGGUGCUCGGAAGUUGGAAAAGCCAUAUGUCUUUCUCAGGCAUAUCGAGCUGGGUAUACUUGAACUGCUUGUCCAUCCAGAAGUGUAGCAUCUCAAAGGCUGGGCGAGAGGGAUGCUUCCAUGGAUAGGUAAUCGCAAUGCUCCGAUUGCGGGCUCAUCACUAUGUGCUGCACAGCGAUACUGGCACAGCGUCUUAUCCUGGGCUUCAUACUGGGUUUUCAGCUGGCCCGGUCCGUCAGCUAAAUAUAUAGGCCUAAUCCUGGUCCGGGCCAGAGUGAAAAAGACCUAGGCUUACCGGAACUCAGCCCUCUGGCCUGGCCGGGCUCAGGCUUUUGGACUACUUGAACCCGUGCACACAAAUAUUGCACAAGCAUUGUUAUCCACUGAACCACUGGGACAGUUCUUCAACAACAAAAAAAGAAACGUCGUUAGCAAACUGGUGCGUGAAAUAAAGCUGCGU
rnacentral:misc_RNA from 1 species